rnacentral:lncRNA from 1 species
AUAAGAUCCCAUAAGACCCCACCAGAACCCCAUAAGACCUCACCAGAACCCCAUAAGACCCCAUCAGACCCCUCCAGAACCCCAUAGAACCCCACCAGAACCUCAUAAGACCCCACCAGAACCCCAUAAGAUCCCAUAAGACCCCACCAGAACCCCAUAAGAUCCCACCAGACCCCACCAGAACCCCAUCAGACCCCACCAGAACCCCAUAAGAUCCCAUCAGACCCCAUAAGACCCCACCAGACCCCACCAGAACCCCAUAAGACCCCACCAGAACCCCAUAAGAUCCCAUAGGAUCCCACCAGAACCCCAUAAGACC